GAUGAACGCUGGCGGCGUGCCUAAUACAUGCAAGUCGAGCGAACGGACGAGAAGCUUGCUUCUCUGAUGUUAGCGGCGGACGGGUGAGUAACACGUGGAUAACCUACCUAUAAGACUGGGAUAACUUCGGGAAACCGGAGCUAAUACCGGAUGAUAUUUUGAACCGCAUGGUUCAAAAGUGAAAGACGGUCUUGCUGUCACUUAUAGAUGGAUCCGCGCUGCAUUAGCUAGUUGGUAAGGUAACGGCUUACCAAGGCAACGAUGCAUAGCCGACCUGAGAGGGUGAUCGGCCACACUGGAACUGAGACACGGUCCAGACUCCUACGGGAGGCAGCAGUAGGGAAUCUGCCGCAAUGGGCGAAAGCCUGACGGAGCAACGCCGCGUGAGUGAUGAAGGUCUUCGGAGCGUAAAACUCUGUUAUUAGGGAAGAACAUAUGUGUAAGUAACUGUGCACAUCUUGACGGUACCUAAUCAGAAAGCCACGGCUAACUACGUG
rnacentral:rRNA from 1 species